rnacentral:misc_RNA from 1 species
CGUCGAAGGUGGGGCUGAUGACUGGGGUGAAGUCGUAACAAGGUAGCCGUACCGGAAGGUGCGGCUGGAUCACCUCCUAACAGGGAGACAACACAAUGAUUUUGAUGCCUGAGUACUUUUAUUCUUAGGCCGAAAUCCUGUCACCUUAGGUCGAUCGGUACCUCAGCAUUAAGAGCAGUAAUUGAUGAGCAAUUAUCAAGAGACUGAAGGAGAUGUUCAGUUCCUAAACUUUGUCUAGGUCACACCCCACAAGGGUUGAGUCUUCCUGGGCCAUUAGCUCAGGUGGUUAGAGCGCACCCCUGAUAAGGGUGAGGUCCCUGGUUCAAGUCCAGGAUGGCCCAUUCGGUGUUGGGGGUUUAGCUCAGUUGGUAGAGCGCCUGCUUUGCAAGCAGGAUGUCAGGAGUUCGAGUCUCCUAACCUCCACUGACCGAACUUAAUCUCCAUCUUCUGAAUUAUGGAAGGUGAACUCGAAGGUGUGUGUGAUUUAGAUGUGUCCGCUGGCAUGAACUCAGCUUCCUGUCAUUCCAAGUGAAGAGUUUUGCUCUGAAUUUGGUUGAUAAGAUGCUGGGAUCGAACUGAGCAAUCAGUUGGAUGUCUAGCAGAACCUUGACAACUGCAUAGGUGAGUCUGGAAAGAAUAAAGCAUCUCUCAUGGAUGCAUCAUUCUUUUAAAGGAUGAUGUUAAUUCUUGAGCAAGAGCCGAGACUCCAUUACGUUCUUCUGAUUGUGUCGAGCAAUCAGGAGUUUGAUCAUUGAUUUAGGAAUAAAUCAGUGAGAAUCCGUUUCAACGACGGCAAGCGUAUUGGAGAUUAUAUGGUCAAGCUACAAAGGGCUCAC